rnacentral:rRNA from 1 species
AAUUAAUGGAGGGGAGCAAGAUAGUGAGUGCAUAAAGAUUUAAGCGAGCAAGAAGCAGACGGGUGCGAUCAUACCAGCACUAAAUCACCG